rnacentral:rRNA from 1 species
ACUCCUACGGGAGGCAGCAGUGGGGAAUAUUGCACAAUGGGGGAAACCCUGAUGCAGCAACGCCGCGUGAAGGAAGACGGUUUUCGGAUUGUAAACUUCUGUUCUUAGUGAAGAAUAAUGACGGUAGCUAAGGAGCAAGCCACGGCUAACUACGUGCCAGCAGCCGCGGUAAUACGUAGGUGGCAAGCGUUGUCCGGAAUUACUGGGUGUAAAGGGAGCGUAGGCGGGAUGCCAAGUCAGCUGUGAAAACUAUGGGCUUAACCUGUAGACUGCAGUUGAAACUGGUAUUCUUGAGUGAAGUAGAGGUUGGCGGAAUUCCGAGUGUAGCGGUGAAAUGCGUAGAUAUUCGGAGGAACACCGGUGGCGAAGGCGGCCAACUGGGCUUUAACUGACGCUGAGGCUCGAAAGUGUGGGGAGCAAACAGGAUUAGAUACCCUGGUAGUCCACACUGUAAACGAUGAUAACUAGGUGUGGGGGGUCUGACCCCUUCCGUGCCGCAGCUAACGCAAUAAGUUAUCCACCUGGGGAGUACGACCGCAAGGUUGAAACUCAAAGGAAUUGACGGGGACCCGCACAAGCAGUGGAUUAUGUGGUUUAAUUCGAAGCAACGCGAAGAACCUUACCAGCACUUGACAUCCGACUAACGAAGUAGAGAUACAUUAGGUGCCCUUCGGGGAAAGUCGAGACAGGUGGUGCAUGGUUGUCGUCAGCUCGUGUCGUGAGAUGUUGGGUUAAGUCCCGCAACGAGCGCAACCCCUGCCAUUAGUUGCUACGCAAGAGCACUCUAAUGGGACCGCUACCGACAAGGUGGAGGAAGGUGGGGACGACGUCAAAUCAUCAUGCCCCUUAUGUCCUGGGCUACACACGUAAUACAAUGGCCAUCAACAAAGAGAAGCAAUACCGCGAGGUGGAGCAAAACUUCAAAAAUGGUCUCAGUUCGGACUGCAGGCUGCAACCCGCCUGCACGAAGUUGGAAUUGCUAGUAAUCGUGGAUCAGCAUGCCACGGUGAAUACGUUCCCGGGUCUUGUACACACCGCCCGUCACACCAUGAGAGCCGGGGGGACCCGAAGUCGGUAGUCUAACCGCAAGGAGGACGCCGC